rnacentral:lncRNA from 1 species
UCUGACAAGAGUUUAAACGAUGAUCAACUGGAACCCACUCACUAAUGCAGCUGAGGUACGUAGUUUUCUUGACUUGCCAGGUUACUACCGAUGAUUCAUCAAUGGAUUUUCUAAGAUGCUACCCCGUUGACUCGACUCACUCAGAAGGGCGUACCUUUUGUUUAGGAUUACGAAUGUGGUGAAAGCUUUAUAGAAUUGAAGCAUCGUCUCAUCUAUGCUCUACUGUUGAUCCUCCUUGACAGCAAUGGAAGAUUCUAGGUUUACUGCGAUGCAUCUCAUAAUAAUUUGGGAUGCAUUUUGAUAAAG